GACGAACGCUGGCGGCGUGCUUAACACAUGCAAGUCGAACGAGUGGCGAACGGGUGAGUAACACGUGAGUAACCUGCCCCGGACUCUGGAAUAAGCGCUGGAAACGGCGUCUAAUACCGGAUAGUCUGGGAUGGACUCGCGGCCUAUCAGCUUGUUGGUGAGGUAGUGGUCACCAAGGCGCGACGGGUAGCCGGCCUGAGAGGGCGACCGGCCACACUGGGACUGAGACACGGCCCAGACUCCUACGGGAGGCAGCAGUGGGGAAUAUUGCACAAUGGGCAAAAGCCUGAUGCAGCGACGCCGCGUGAGGGAUGACGGCCUUCGGGUUGUAAACCUCUUUCAGCAGGGAAGCGGUACCUGCAGAAGAAGCACCGGCUAACUACGUGCCAGCAGCCGCGGUAAUACGUAGGGUGCGAGCGUUGUCCGGAAUUAUUGGGCGUAAAGAGCUUGUAGGCGGUUUGUCGCGUCUGCUGUGAAAUCCGGGGCUCAACCCCGGACUUGCAGUGGGUACGGGCAGACUAGAGU
rnacentral:rRNA from 1 species